GGGGCGGUAGCUCAGCUGGGAGAGCGUCGCGUUCGCAUUGCGAAGGUCGUGGGUUCGAUCCCCAUCCGCUCCACCA
rnacentral:tRNA from 1 species